UUUACUAGUUUCUUUUGUUAGCCGGAAGCUAGCAUCCUACUCCAAAAACCCACAUCAGAUAUGCAUCAAAUAUUUGGAUAUUUAUGAAGUUCUAUGAUUGUCAUUUAUAAAUACGAGCAGAGAGUUGAAUUUUUCAAACCAUAAGUUUGACCUUUCAUUUUUAUGUAAGAAGUGAGUACUUAUUGUUUUUAGUAAUUGGACAA
rnacentral:lncRNA from 1 species